rnacentral:rRNA from 1 species
AACGUAGGAGGCAAGCGUUAUCCGGAUUUACUGGGCGUAAAGCGUGUGCAGGCGGCUGUUCAAGUCGUGCAUGAAAGCGCUCCGCUUAACGGGGCGAGGCUAGACGAGACUGGGCGACUCGAAUCAGACAGAGGAAAGCGGAAUUCCACGUGUAGCGGUGAAAUGCGUAGAGAUGUGGAGGAACACCAGUGGCGAAGGCGGCUUUCUGGUCUGUAACUGACGCUGAGGCGCGAAAGCGUGGGGAGCAAACAGG